UAGUCCACGCCGUAAACGAUGGAUACUAGGUGUUUGGAAAUAUUAUUUUUCUGAGUACUGAAGCUAACGCAUUAAGUAUCCCGCCUGGGGAGUACGGUCGCAAGGCUAAAACUCAAAGGAAUUGACGGGGGCCCGCACAAGCGGUGGAGUAUGUGGUUUAAUUCGAAGCAACGCGCAGAACCUUACCUACCCUUAACAUUCCGCGCUAUCCGCAGAGAUGUGGAGUUCUCUUCGGAGACGCGGGGAUAGGUGCUGCAUGGCUGUCGUCAGCUCGUGUCGUAAGAUGUCUGGUUAAGUCCAAUAACGAGCGCAACCCUUAUCCUUAGUUACCAUCAUUAAGUUGGGGACUCUAGGGAGACUGCCGGUGUUAAACCGGAGGAAGGCGGGGAUGACGUCAAGUCCUCAUGGCCCUUACGGGUAGGGCUACACACGUACUACAAUGGCAGAAACAAACCGUUGCGAAGCCGCGAGGUGGAGCUAAUCGGUAAAACACUGUCUCAGUCCGGAUUGGAGUCUGCAAUUCGACUCCA
rnacentral:rRNA from 1 species